UACGUAGGGUGCGAGCGUUGUCCGGAAUUACUGGGCGUAAAGCGCUCGUAGGUGGUUUGUCGCGUUGUCCGUGAAAACUCACAACUCAAUUGUGGGCGUGCGGGCGAUACGGGCAGACUGGAGUACUGCAGGGGAGACUGGAAUUCCUGGUGUAGCGGUGGAAUGCGCAGAUAUCAGGAGGAACACCGGUGGCGAAGGCGGGUCUCUGGGCAGUAACUGACGCUGAGGAGCGAAAGCGUGGGGAGCAAACAGG
rnacentral:rRNA from 1 species